UACAAGUGAUGCUUUGUUCCCUUAUGUAAAAGUACAACUGUUUUCACGCUUUCAAAGGUAUUUGUAUACCAAAAGGAAAUAUAAGGAAAAAAUAGUUCGAGAUCGCAAGACGCGACGAUGCUUUGUCUAUAUCAUUGAAUAUCAGCAUGUUUUGCUGUGAAGAUCAUUUUAACUUGCAAGAGGAUGUAGAAAACUAUAUGAGAGUACGGCUUGAUCCAGAUGUAUCUGUACAAUUAAAAAAAGGACUAUUGCCUACAAUAUUUGAUUGUCAACCUGACAGAUAACGUUGUCAUUUAAAACAUGAAUGUCUAGGAAUUCUAAAGCGUCAGAAAAUAGAAAGUUUGAAUGAAAUCUUAUAAACUAAAUCGGUUGAUAAGGCUUGUGGACACAUAAUAGAUGAAUCUGUUACUGAAGAGACAGACGUCAAUAUUGAUAAUCCUUCAUCAAUUGAAGAUAACAGCGUCGAAAGUAAUUUGAAUAAUGUAUUUCCAAAAUACAAGGACAUCGGCGUUUAAGCAAAAUUACAAGUUCGAAAAAUAAUGCGUAGCAAAUACGUACAAAAUGUAACUGUUAUACGAGAUGUUAUGUAACAGAAAUUCAACAGAAGCAAAAACAACACAAUCUUCAUCGACAACCAGUACUACUAUAACAAAUAAUCUUGAUGAUACUUAACGAUGAAUACCUAUCAUCCGAAGAAACAAAAUAUGUAUGAACAGAAGAAAUUUACGAGAAAUUUAAAAAUAACACUUAUUACAA